GAUGAACGCUGGCGGCGUGCCUAAUACAUGCAAGUCGAGCGAACAGACGAGGAGCUUGCUCCUCUGACGUUAGCGGCGGACGGGUGAGUAACACGUGGAUAACCUACCUAUAAGACUGGGAUAACUUCGGGAAACCGGAGCUAAUACCGGAUAAUAUAUUGAACCGCAUGGUUCAAUAGUGAAAGACGGUUUUGCUGUCACUUAUAGAUGGAUCCGCGCCGCAUUAGCUAGUUGGUAAGGUAACGGCUUACCAAGGCAACGAGGCGUAGCCGACCUGAGAGGGUGAUCGGCCACACUGGAACUGAGACACGGUCGAGACUCCUACGGGAGGCAGCAGUAGGGAAUCUUCCGCAAUGGGCGAAAGCCUGACGGAGCAACGCCGCGUGAGUGAUGAAGGUCUUCGGAUCGUAAAACUCUGUUAUUAGGGAAGAACAAAUGUGUAAGUAACUAUGCACGUCUUGACGGUACCUAAUCAGAAAGCCACGGCUAACUACGUG
rnacentral:rRNA from 1 species